GUGAGGAAUAUUGGACAAUGGGCGCAAGCCUGAUCCAGCCAUGCCGCGUGCAGGAAGACGCAUCUAUGGUGUGUAAACUGCUUUUGUACGGGAAGAAACACUCCCUCGUGAGGGAGCUUGACGGUACCGUAAGAAUAAGGAUCGGCUAACUCCGUGCCAGCAGCCGCGGUAAUACGGAGGAUCCAAGCGUCAUCCGGAAUCAUUGGGUUUAAAGGGUCCGUAGGCGGUUUAAUAAGUCAGUGGUGAAAGCCCAUCGCUCAACGAUGGAACGGCCAUUGAUACUGUUAGACUUGAAUUACAAGGAAGUAACUAGAAUAUGUAGUGUAGCGGUGAAAUGCUUAGAUAUUACAUGGAAUACCAAUUGCGAAGGCAGGUUACUACUUGUGGAUUGACGCUGAUGGACGAAAGCGUGGGGAGCGAACAGGAUUAGAAACCCCGGUAGUCC
rnacentral:rRNA from 1 species